AACGUAGGACACAAGCGUUAUCCGGAGUUACUGGGCGUAAAGGGCGUGUAGGCGGAUCGGUAAGUCUACUCUGAAAGCUCCUGGCUAAACUGGGAGAGGCGAGUGGAGACUGUCGGUCUAGAGUGAGGAAGAGGAAAGUGGAAUUCCGCGUGUAGUGGUGAAAUGCGUAGAGAUGCGGAGGAACACCAGUGGCGAAAGCGGCUUUCUGGUCCUUAACUGACGGCUGAGG
rnacentral:rRNA from 1 species